rnacentral:rRNA from 1 species
UACAGAGGUCUCAAGCGUUUGUUCGGAUUCAUUGGGCGUAAAGGGUGCGUAGGCGGCGCGGUAAGUCGGGUGUGAAAUCUCGGGCUUAACUCCGAAACUGCAUUCGAUACUGCCGUGCUUGAGGACUGGAGAGGAGACUGGAAUUUACGGUGUAGCGGUGAAAUGCGUAGAUAUCGUAAGGAAGACCAGUGGCGAAGGCGGGUCUCUGGACAGUUCCUGACGCUGAGGCACGAAGGUCCAGGG